rnacentral:lncRNA from 1 species
UUGUAAACCUAUUUGUAACCUGUGUUUAACCAGCAUAGUUGUAGCAUGUGGUUGUAUUAAUGAACGUUACAGGACAGCUUUAUAAUCAUUUAUAAAUCUGUAACAUUCAAUAAAGAAGCACAUGUGGCAAGGAUUAAUUAUGCUCCCAUUUUCCAUGUUUUUAGCAGCCUCUAGUAAUGGGCAUUUUUGUUCCUGAUCUCUCUUACACUCUUCACAUCUCUCAGACCCCCGUGAGAUACUUAUAUAAGCUGAUGGUGCCUCCGCCACCAGGUCCCACAAGCUGGGAGAGGCAAGGUGUGGUUUUGUGUCUGACAAGCUGGCAUGCUAUGCAAAAGACUACCUAGCAAAUGAACUGAAAGAGUUUAAACUCCAGUUGAAUUAGCUGCCUGUUUACGUCUACUGACCCCAUAAGGAAGCAGUGUGCAGUGUUUUAUAAAUCCAUUCAAUCAGUAGCACUGUCUGUUAUAGAUAAAGUGUUGGUGUUGUUUGGGUGGCUGUAUAUUUGGCCUAGAUGUUGCAUCCAACUUGCUAAUCUUUACCAUAACGAUGUGGCUCGACUGAAGUAAUCCCUCUCCAAACCCAGUCCUAGUUUUGUGUCGGCACAAUGCACGCACGCUAUGCUUUAUAUGUGUCUCUUUGCCUUCGUAAGGCACUUAAGGUUUUACUCUGGUCUGCUGCAAUCCUUAAACCAGUUAUCGAGUCACUCGAACUGUUGGGCUUCUUAAACUGGGGACUACUUUCAGUUCUCACAAACUAAAAACAAGUCAUCAAGGGGUUCUUUUCUCUUUUUAUUUUUUUAAAGC